CCUGCGUCUGGGCAGCUGAUGCAGUUGUUUACAAGACGGAAGGUUUUUCAGACAUAACACAGCCCCUUUCAAGGACGACCGCCAUGCAGCAUGCUGGGAAAAUGGAGUCCUACAGCGGCCAUCAAUUGACUCACGGCCACUUCAGGUGGCUGCUCAUGGGAAUCCGUCUUGCCCUCAUGCUAAAGCAGAGAGAAGGUUUCAUUUUCAUGAUCAUGAUUCAAGAAAGCAGGGGAAAGCAGGAAGAAAAUGGGGAAAGGACAUGGGAUGGCUGG